AGAGUUUGAUCCUGGCUCAGGAUGAACGCUGGCGGCGUGCCUAAUACAUGCAAGUCGAGCGAGAUGUUAGCGCAUGAACCUUCGGGGGAUUAUGCUAACGGACAGCGGCGGACGGGUGAGUAACGCGUAGGCAACCUGCCCCUGACAGAGGGAUAGCCAUUGGAAACGAUGAUUAAAACCUCAUGACACCGUAGAAGCACAUGCUUCAUCGGUCAAAGAUUUAUCGGUCAGGGAUGGGCCUGCGUCUGAUUAACUAGUUGGUGAGGUAACGGCUCACCAAGGCGACGAUCAGUAGCCGACCUGAGAGGGUGAUCGGCCACAUUGGAACUGAGACACGGUCCAAACUUCUACGGAAGGCAGCAGUAGGGAAUCUUGCACAAUGGGCGAAAGCCUGAUGCAGCAACGCCGCGUGAAGGAUGAAGGCCUUCGGGUUGUAAACUUCUGUUCUAAGGGAAGAAACAAAUGACGGUACCUUAGGAGCAAGCCCCGGCUAACUACGUGCCAGCAGCCGCGGUAAUACGUAGGGGGCAAGCGUUAUCCGGAAUUAUUGGGCGUAAAGAGUGCGUAGGUGGUUACCUAAGCGCAAGGUUUAAUUUAGAGGCUCAACCUCUACUUGCCUUGCGAACUGGGCUACUUGAGUGCAGGAGGGGAAAGCGGAAUUCCUAGUGUAGCGGUGAAAUGCGUAGAUAUUAGGAGGAACACCAGCGGCGAAGGCGGCUUUCUGGACUGUAACUGACACUGAGGCACGAAAGCGUGGGUAGCAAACAGGAUUAGAUACCCUGGUAGUCCACGCCGUAAACG
rnacentral:rRNA from 1 species